rnacentral:lncRNA from 1 species
CUGCCCCAUACCUAAUGAUAACAUCCCGCUAUGUUCCCUGUAUCUGGGCUUGGCCGUGUCUAGAGGCAAGAGGCCUUGGUGAGCUUACUUGGUUGCUCUGGUUUGAAGAACAGAGGGAUGUUAGCCUUCCAUGGGGAGGCUUCACAGGCUGAGUUCCUCAGAGGCCAGUGGUAAGACCAGAGCAAGGUCCAGGAACUGCGACACCUCAUUCGGAGCAGAAGAGAGGAGAAUAGAUCCCGACAUGCAUCUGCUUAGUGCAGAACUGCCAACGUCCAUGUCUCUCAGUGAAGGUGGUGGUUUCAUCACCAGCAGCAGCAGCUAGUCUUUGCUCCUCCAAAUGGCUCAUGCCAGCCCUGCCUCUGUCCACACAUACCGUAUCUUAGCUCAAUGUAUUCUGUGUUAGUGCUGUUUUCCUAUGCUUUUGUUUGCCUGUAGACUCUACUCUUUGUACUUGUACUAUUCAUCUUCCUUGACCUCCUUUUCUCCUUUGAACCCCACUUUCCUAAGAUCUGUGCUAUCAACACAGACCUUCAGAAGUAGAGAGGAUGGAAAUAGAACACGUACUUUGAUAAACAGAAGCAAUUAGACUUCCUUGGACGAUGCCACAUUCCUUUAAUGCACAUUCGGCUUAAUGCACAAUGGGAAAAUCAGAGCCUAUUGAGCAAUGGUGUUGCCUCUGGUUUAUUGCAGUUCAUUAAUAAACAUUGCAGCUGGAGGCAAUGACUGUAUGACCCUUAAGUUCCUCCCAAUGCUGAGUUUCUAUGGCUUGUAGAAUAUUACAGCUUUAGAGUUUAAAAAUGUGUUCUGUACAACCAUGGGUACUAUAUUUGUCUUUUAAUUGUAGCUAUAGGCUAUUCUUGUACAUCCUACCUAGAUCUCGUCCUUUCCAGAAGGAAGGAAGUCAAGCUUUGUUCUAAGCCCUGUCACUUGAAAGGCAUAGCUUCCUAUCCCCUUAUCCCUGCUAAAGCUAUUUACAUCACUAGAUAUUGAAUACAUCAGAUCAUAUGUGGAAGGUCCUCAUCUAGAGACGAGAUCCAGAAGAGGAAACAAACUGAUGUUUCUCAAGAGUGAGCAAAUUUUACCUCUAGAUACCCUUUGACACAGGUUAUAACAAAAACUUCCCUCUGCUCUCUUCUCGUCAGUCCAGAGAGUCAGGCAAGCCAAUCCUCAAAAUCAAUAAGUGCUUCCUCCCCACUCUCCUUUCCCUCCCCCUCUCCAUUGCCUAGUUAGGUUUAUCCCUGGUGUCUGAUCUUUGUUGCAUCUCAGUCUGUAGGUAUCUAGGAGUGAAUUUAUCCUUGGUUGGGUAACUAUAUUGGUGACUGAGAUACUCAAACCAUCUCAGUUUGCCUGCAACUCAGGGGUUUCCUGGGUAUGGAGUUUUGAGUACUAAACUUAGGAAACCAAAAUAAAUUAUUCAACAUGC